UUUUUACAUGUAGAGAUUGGUAGUUAGACUUCCACAAAAAUCUGAUCCUUCUCACAGAUCUUUUUAUUUUUUAUUCUUUGGCUCCACAUAAUGCAUUCAUUAAUUGCCAUAUAUACUUUAAUUUCUAAUAGAAAAAGAAUUGGUUUGAAGUACCUGACUGCAGUAAAAUCUGAUAUAUUAAAGAAGUCAGCCACUAGGAUUUAAAACUGAGUACUGACCACAAGAGUGCUAAAGGUAUGAACAUGAAAUAGAUCACAUUCCUUGAAGGCUAGUUAACUUUAACCCCAUGUAAUAUAGUCCUGCUGUGUAAUGUAAUAUAACCUGAUAUAUCCUGCUAGAUUUUUUUAAAAAUCCACUUCUUGUCUGCUGUUUGGCAUAAACUUAUGGGAUCAGUAUUCCAAGGAAAACUCCUCAUUUUUUUCCCUACAGCAUCAUGCCUUCAAUUCCUCUGUUACCCAUGAAUAACCGGGUAAAUUAUUCGUUUACCCAUGCCUUAACAUUCUUGUUAAACACCUAAACAGUAGGUUAAUGAUAAAGUGUGUUCUAUGGUACUUUUUAAAUAUUUGAACUAUUCUCUGUAAGCAAGAAUUAUAGAGAUAAAGUCUUUAUCUUAUUCAUAUCUAUAUUCUCUACAGUACCACACAAAGUGUUUUAAAGUCAUAUGAGUCAAACCUUGAUAUUAACCUAUACUUAAUUACAGAUGAAUGUAAUCAUGGAAUAUUUUUCUCUGACCUAAGUGUACUAAUCCUGAAGGCUUGAAAUUGGGUCAUCUUGUCUUGGUAGGGAGUUUGGUAUGGCAAACAUUAGUUCGCCGCAUAACUGGUAGAAUGAAGGCAUUGGUUUCUGUCCUGCUGCCUACCACAUAAAAAGCAUUAGCUAAACAUUUGAUGACGAGUGCGCUUAUGUGGAACAUUAUAUGGUAAACUUUGAAACCUAUAAUACAUGGAGUUACAUAGAAAUAGGAGGGCUCUUGGUUUCUGAUCAGAGAUGUAGAGAGGUAGAAGAAAGUUCAAUAAUUCAACCUCAACUUUAAAAUAAAAAGGUGGACAAACAGCAAAUUCACAACUUUUCUUUAACCCACUGAGUGCUGAAGUGGCUGGUCAGUGAAACUAGGCCCGGAAUCUAGGGAGAGACAGAUUCUUUUUAGAGAGAGUGCAAGUUAGCAGAGUGCAAGUACUGAUUUACCUGGGCAAGACACAAUCAGACACGUACAGAAAAAAUUCAACUAAAAUGAUUUUUGAAUUGGUGGAGGCCAAGUGUGUCCUGGCAAGGAAAGGUGAAACCUGUGGUAGCCACAAAAAUUGGAGGACCCCACACCAUUGUAUAGAUUUUUUCUUCAUGAACCUUACCAGCCAAUAAAAGAAAACCCCCUCUUUGGUGAAGAACUGGAGGAUAACUAUAGCAACCACAGCCAGAAGAACAAUAAACUCCACCUGGACUCUUCUUCCUCUUUUCUCUUAUAGAACAAAGCCAUAGUCUGUUGGGAGAGGUGCAACCAGUAUUGUUGCCCUUGGACACUGGUGGAAUCUCUUAGUAGCUGGGGAAUUGGAACAGGAGGGAAAACCCUCAAACCUUAGGGGAGCGGCAGGAAUAUAUACAGGAACCAGAACUAUACUUCAGGAGAUGAAGGAUCAAUAAAAAGGAAUAUACAUGAUAUCUAGGGAUACAGUGCUUACGUAAGACUAAGUCUUAACCAGAAGAUCAAAGAAGACUCUCCCCUAUUUUUCACUCCCUGUUGCCAGGAUAACAAGUGUCAAAUUUAAGUAAUUAGCAAGAGACAGAUCUUCUGAGCACAAAGCCUUAAAACUGACUAUGGAACAGUUAGGAGAAUGAAAAAAUAUUCUUUGGCACUAUAGACAUUCGAAGCCUUUGGUGCACUGAGUGUAGCCAUAGCAAUGAUGGAUCUCAAACCUAGUUUAACUCCUAGUUAGGUUAAUUUAAACCCCUUUGCUAAAAGUUUUAGUGGAAGUGUGUGCUCAUGUCCAAGCAUAAAAAUUACCUUAGUCUUACUGUCAUACACAAGAUGACAAUAGUAUGUAAGAUCUUUAAUAAAAAGUUACGGGGCGCCUGGGUGGCUCAGUGGAUUAAACCUCUGCCUUCAACCGGGGUCAUGAUCCCAGGG